GACGAACGCUGGCGGCGUGCCUAAUACAUGCAAGUUGAGCGCUGAAGGUUGGUACUUGUACCAACUGGAUGAGCAGCGAACGGGUGAGUAACGCGUGGGGAAUCUGCCUUUGAGCGGGGGACAACAUUUGGAAACGAAUGCUAAUACCGCAUAAAAACUUUAAACACAAGUUUUAAGUUUGAAAGAUGCAAUUGCAUCACUCAAAGAUGAUCCCGCGUUGUACUAGCUAGUUGGUGAGGUAAAGGCUCACCAAGGCGAUGAUACAUAGCCGACCUGAGAGGGUGAUCGGCCACAUUGGGACUGAGACACGGCCCAAACUCCUACGGGAGGCAGCAGUAGGGAAUCUUCGGCAAUGGACGAAAGUCUGACCGAGCAACGCCGCGUGAGUGAAGAAGGUUCUCGGAUCGUAAAACUCUGUUGGUAGAGAAGAACGUUGGUGAGAGUGGAAAGCUCAUCAAGUGACGGUAACUACCCAGAAAGGGACGGCUAACUACGUG
rnacentral:rRNA from 1 species